UACGUAGGGUGCAAGCGUUGUCCGGAAUUAUUGGGCGUAAAGAGCUCGUAGGCGGUUUGUUGCGUCGGCUGUGAAAUCCCGAGGCUCAACCUCGGGUCUGCAGUCGAUACGAGCAAACUAGAGUGUUGCAGGGGAGACUGGAAUUCCUGGUGUAGCGGUGAAAUGCGCAGAUAUCAGGAGGAACACCGGUGGGCGAAAGG
rnacentral:rRNA from 1 species